rnacentral:sRNA from 1 species
AAGUGUUCCCCUCUGGAGGUUUGCCUAAGGGCACCUUCAUAACUUAGCCGGACUUUUAGUCCGGCUCUUUUUUGCCUAAAU